GUCCUUGAAGCUUGUAUCUGAUAUCAGCACUGGAUCGUAGAACUUGUUGCUGAUUUUUGACCUUGUAUUCAAGUUAACUGCUCCCUUGGUAUAUGUUUAAUACCCUGUGCAUAUCUUGAUUUAGUCCUUAGUUCAUGUGGCUCGGUCACUUGGGGGCUGGGGAGAGCACGCUGCAGAUGAGAAAGCCCCAGCCUGGUGGAUCUCUGUGAGCACCACUGAGUGAUCUGUGCAGGGUAUUAACCAACAGCAGACUUCCAGGAUUUCCUGAGGCUGGCAAGGGUUCCUGAACCAGUUACCACUCCUUCUUGCCAGUCUAACAGGGUGGGAAAGUCCGAGCCUUAGGACCCAGUUUCAGUUCUGGUUUCUUCCCUCCUGACCACCAUCGGUUGUUAGUUGCCUUGAGUUGGGAACAUUUGCAUCGACACCUGUAAAUGUAUUCAUUCUUUAAUUUAUGUAAGGUUUUUUGUACUCAAUUCUUUAAGAAAUGACAAAUUUUGGUUUUCUACUGUUCAAUGAGAACAUUAGGCCCCAGCAACACG
rnacentral:lncRNA from 1 species